GACAGAGGGGGCAAGCGUUGCUCGGAAUCACUGGGCGUAAAGGGCGCGUAGGCGGGAUGGCAAGUCGGUCGUGAAAUCCUUCGGCCCAACCGAAGAACGUCGGCCGAUACUGCCGUUCUUGAGGGAUGCAGAGGAGACUGGAAUUCCCAGUGUAGCGGUGAAAUGCGUAGAUAUUGGGAGGAACACCAGUGGCGAAGGCGGCUCACUGGACCGGAACUGACGCUGAGGCGCGAAAGCGUGGGGAGCAAACAGG
rnacentral:rRNA from 1 species